GAACGCGCUUCGCAAGAAGCGAGUGGCGGACGGGUGAGUAACACGUGGGAACCUACCUUGAGGUGAGGGAUACGGCGAGAAAUCGCCGACAAGACCGCAUAGGCUCGGUAACGAGCAAAGCUCUUUCGGGAGCGCCGCAAGAUGGGCCCGCGGCCGAUUAGCUGGUUGGUGGGGUAAGAGCUCACCAAGGCUGCGAUCGGUAGCUGGUCUGAGAGGACGAUCAGCCACACUGGGAUUGAGAACGGCCCAGACUCCUACGGGGGGCAGCAGUGAGGAAUUUUCCGCAAUGGAGGCAACUCUGACGGAGCAACGCCGCGUGCAGGAAGACGGCCUUCGGGUUGUAAACUGCUUUUCUGUGGGAAGAGAUCGGACGGUACCACAGGAACAAGCCCCGGCUAACUACGUGCCAGCAGCCGCGGUAAU
rnacentral:rRNA from 1 species